CGGCGCAUGGGCCCAAUGGAUGUAGUCCAUUAAGCCUAAGCAAGCCUACUUAUAUUACCUAUUUAUCAUUCCAUCCCACGAGUUACUAAAGUCAUAAUUCAAAAUCUCAAUUCGAAAUGAUGAAAACCAUUGCCAACUCGUACUGGCAUUACUCAUUAAAAUAUACACAUAUUGUCUACAGUAUGUAUUCUAAUAAUUAACAUCAGAUUUGUCUAUACAUGCAAAAGGAGACUCGAUGUCCAGCGGAGAAGCUCGACGAAUGUACAGCUACUGAAUGCCGAGACACCUACCAAGAGUCGAGUCUACAAAGGCACCUCAACCUAGUUACCGACUGCCUCCUGAUCUGAAAACAUGAAGUUGAAAACUGUGAGUAUAAACCCAGUGAGUGAACAAUGAAGGGAACAAGCAAGCAAUAAGGAAGGUUUAAAGAAAAUCAUGAUGCAUUUAUCUUUAAAACAAUGCAAUUUAGUUUAGCUCUUAUCAGAACCUCUCAUGUAAACCCCAAAUGAGUAAAUCACUUGAUAAAAAGGGUCCAUGCUCAACAAAGAAUUUGAAGAGCGAAAACUUUAAUAGCAUUCGUGCAAUUCAAGUCAAGUAAACGACGGGUCUUCGCUGCAGCGGAAAGGCAUUCCCGCUGCAGCGAGAUUUCGACAACCAUUACCCUCCAACUCUGAGAGUUUCUCGCUGCAGUGAGAUACAUAGCACCAUGAAAAAAAAAUUUCCUUUCUUUCAAGAAAAAACCAUCAUGCUAAAAUAACAAAAAAAAUCAACAUGAAACGAAUAAUAAUUCCCAAAGUUCAACAUGUCAAGUUUCACAUGCAUUUCAAUCAUAUGCCAUAUUCAUAAGCUUUUAUUUCAUAAACAUAUACAUACAUAAAUACAUAGAUAAACACCAAUACACCAUUAUCACACCCAGCUCAUGUGCAUUCCCCCCACAUCGUGUACAUAGCCGGAGUCAUCGUGUGCAUCCCCCCACAUCGUGCACAAUCAGUGCCAUCGUGUACAUCCCCCCACAUCGUGCACACAGGCACUAUAUCAUCCACCUCCCUCACCACGCCAUCACCGGCAUGUGCAUUCCCCCACAUUGUGCACACACACAGUUAUAAUCAUCACACAUAUCAACUAUCAUGCACAACAUAUAUAUAUCUAUAAAUAUCGCAACAUAAUGUAGUAGUGCAUGAAUCCAUAGCAGCCACAUGUCACAAUAUUGAGUCAAUUAUCAAGAGCUUGUUCCUAAGCAAAUUUUAGAGCAAAAACAGAUAAAAUUCCCAAACGAUUCAUUAACACACGUGAGCAUUUUCUCAAAACAUUUUGAAAUGCACGCUCACUCACCGGUAUUAGUUGAGCCUUUAGCUGACUUUAACUUCCCUAAUGGUCCAAUUGGAGCUAUGGAACUUCGUUAGAACUUAUCAUUACAUUAGCAUCACCAAUUUGUCAAUUCACAUACUUAUAAAGUCUAAAGCUUUCUCUUAGCUAGCUUCCAAUUGCCAUUUAAAUGGCUAUCUAUUUUCACUACCUUAAUCACUCUAAAAUGAGUGGAUAACCUUAACUACAAACAUUCACAAUUCCCUAAAAUAUCUACUAGCACAUGCUAUCCAUAAUUUUUGCAAUUAAAAUAAAUCAUACUUAUAGGUAUAUAUUUAUGAAAAUUUUUAAAAUUGACACCCUCUACUCACCUUGGUAGCUUGAAACUUUGAAAUUAUUUCCAAUAAAUUUUCCAAGCUAAUAUGGGAGUUUUCUCUUUUUUUCUCUCUCUAAACACCUAACUAGUGAGAGAAAGUAUGAAAGUGAGAUUUUUGAAUGGUUUUAAAGUGAGAGAGUGAAAAAGCACAAAGAUUUCAUGAAAAUGUGCACCAAGGCAUGAAAAUUGGAGCUAGAGAGAGAAAGUUAUGAAAGCUUGAAGAGGACUCCUAUGGAAGAUGAAGAAACGUGAGAGGGAAGAAGGAAGAAGAAGAAGAAAA
rnacentral:lncRNA from 1 species